rnacentral:rRNA from 1 species
UACGUAGGGGGCAAGCGUUGUCCGGAUUUAUUGGGCGUAAAGAGCGUGUAGGCGGCCUGAAAGGUCAGCUGUGAAAACUCGAGGCUCAACCUCGAGACGUCGGUUGAAACCAUCUGGCUAGAGUCCGGAAGAGGAGUGUGGAAGUUCCCGGUGUAGCGGUGAAAUGCGCAGAUAUCGGGAAGAACACCCGUGGCGAAGGCGGUUCUCUGGGACGGUACUGACGCUGAGACGCGAAAGCGUGGGGAGCGAACAGG